AAAAAAAAAAACAAAACAAA
rnacentral:miRNA from 1 species